AUGAGACUGCUGGAUCUUCUCCUUUGCCUGAUGACAGCUCCCAAUGGUGUCCUGUCCCAGCUGCAGCUGAAGGAGUCAGGGCCUGACCUGGUGAAGCCCUCACAGACCCUUUUCUUAACCUGCUCAGGCUCUGGCUACUCCAUCACCAGUGAUAAUGCUUGGAUCUGGAUCCCUCAGCCCCCAGGAAAGAGCCUGCAGUGGAUGGGGCAUGUUUGGUACGAUGGUGACACUAAGUACAACCCGACUCUCCAGAGCCGCAUUUCCAUCUCCAGAGACACAGGCAAGAACCAGUUCUCCCUGCAGCUGAACUCUGUCACCACAGAAGACACAGCCACCUAUUACUGUGCAAGAUAUAUAGUGAUUUCCUAUAAUUAUGUCCAGGCUGAGGAGUAG